GCAAUGAUAGUUCAGUGGCAGAGUUCUCACCUCCCAUGCGGGAGACCUGGGUUCGAUUCCCAGUCAAUGCA
rfam:Loxodonta africana unplaced genomic scaffold scaffold_70, whole genome shotgun sequence.